rnacentral:rRNA from 1 species
UACGAACUGUGCGAACGUUAUCCGGAAUCACUGGGUUUAAAGGGUGCGUAGGCGGUUAUAUAAGUCCAUGGUGAAAGACGGCAGCUUAACUGUCGCAGUGCCAUUGAUACUGUAUGACUUGAAUAAGGAUGAGGUUGGCGGAAUGUGACAUGUAGCGGUGAAAUGCAUAGAUAUGUCAUAGAACACCAAUUGCGAAGGCAGCUGACUAGACCUUUAUUGACGCUGAGGCACGAAAGCGUGGGGAUCGAACAGG